CACAAAGCUUUGCUGAACACAGUAGAGCAGUCAUGAAUGCCAUGAAACCCAAGUAACAAGGGUCUUCUGAAAACUCCAUGCCAACACCAUGACAGGGCUACCUCCACUGUCAGUGUGAAAAGCAGAUUACUCAAGAAAUUUCUUCAAAUAUCCCACCGUCACUCAUUGACGUUGAUGGUGACACACGCCUGUUCUCCAACCCGCCGCUAAGACCCCAGGAAACCAAGAAUGAAUUCUGGCCUGCACCUGAGUCUACUGGAACCAUUAGUGUAGAACUUAAGAAGAAAAUCUGUAGCUAUGAACCCAAGAAGAG
rnacentral:lncRNA from 1 species